CCUACGGGUGGCAGCAGUGGGGGAUAUUGGACAAUGGGGGAAACCCUGAUCCAGCGACGCCGCGUGAGUGAAGAAGUAUUUCGGUAUGUAAAGCUCUGUCAGCAGGGAAGAAAGAAAUGCCGGUACCUGACCAAGAAGUCCCGGCUAACUACGCGCCAGCAGCCGCAGUAAGACGUAGGGGGCUAGCGUUAUCCGGAAUUGCUGGGUGUAAAGGUAGCGUAGACGGUGAUGCAAGUCAGGAGUGAAAGGCGGGGGCCCAACCCCCGGACUGCUCUGGAAACUGUGGAACUUGAGUGCAGGAGAGGUAAGCGGAAUUCCUAGUGUAGCGGUGAAAUGCGUAGAUAUUAGGAGGAACACCAGUGGCGAAGGCGGCUUACUGGACUGUAACUGACGUUGAGGCUCGAAAGCGUGGGGAGCAAACAGGAUUAGAUACCCGAGUAGUC
rnacentral:rRNA from 1 species